CAAGACUCUGUCUCAAAAAAAAUUUUUUUUUAAAAAAGGACGUCAGUAACAUGCCUUAGAGGUUGGGAGGGAGGAAAGGCUGCUUCCUACUGGGGAAAUCAGAAAAGGUUUCAAGGAGGAGGUAACAUCUGAGCUGGGCUUUUGCCUGCAGAAUGUGGACCCAGAAUGAUUGGAGAGCAAGAAGAGCAAUCCACAUAGAAGAAGCACAGAGCAAAGACGGUGGCCGAGGACCAGUGGGAAUUUAUUGCGAACGUUCAAUAGUGACUGAGUGGUUAAGUGGUUCCAGAGAUUACAGGGCCAAUGCCUUAGAACACAUGAGUUUUUUCCAGAAUUACGUUAUCCAUGCACACACACCAUUUGUCUGUGUAGAGCACACUGAGGAGUACUUACUGAGGAGUACACACUGAGGAGUAAUUUAAGUAUUGUAUUUUGACCAAGGAAGGGGGGCAGAGUAAUGGUGGUGACAGAUGGAGUUGCACCAAGGAGACAUGGGUUGGGGCAGGGAGGAAGGAGGUGGAGUGAUUCAGGGUUGUUAAUGAAAGUGUGUCCCUGGGAGGCCUCUCACCUUGCAGUUGACCAGAAGAGCUGGAAUCUCUGUCCUGCUGGUCUUCCUCCUGCUCUCCUGGCCAUGAAUCAGGGCCUGCAUCCGGGGAGGCUCCCCCUGAAGCCAAUUCGGGUUUCCCUCCACCAGGCGUCUUUGGAUCACACUGCGCGGCUGCUGGCUCCAUCACAAAACAAUGAAGGUAGGCAGUUCUAAACCCAGGCAUUCAGGCUGCUCAGUUACCCCACUUAGAUACCCCAGGAUGCUCCCCCAACCCCCCCAGACCUGAGCC
rnacentral:lncRNA from 1 species